GCACAGACAGGUGAGCUCGCAAUAAUAAAACCUCCUCCUGCCAAGCUGAUGGAUUUUUAUUAAGGUUUUUCUUCACUGACAUUUUUAAGGCUUAAAUAUAAAUUAACAGGUCGUUUCUCUUUCAGCAAAUUCAUAAGAACACUCCAGAUUUCAGGAAAUAUGUUGGACCAAAAAAUGUACUUAUAUCUGUUUGGAUAUGUGGACUUCAGCUUAUGAAUUUAAUUUAAAAUCAGCUUUUCCAGUCUUCAUAAUGUCAGAGAGAACCAUCGUGAAGAGCAUGGACUUAGAGUGGCUCCAUCACUAACCCACCAUAUGAACUUGGAGAAGCAAUAUCUCAGUCUCAACUUUUCUCCCUUGUGGAUGGAGCCUUGUCCACAAGGCUACUGUGAGGAUCCAACUUGAUUUGCUUCAUCGGAUUCUUAUGCAGUGGGACAGCACUGGUAUGGGGGUUAAGGGGGUUGAUGCUAGUUCUGGUUCUGGUCUCAAGUUUGUUUCAUUUCCUCCUUUGAAGUUCUUGUCUAUAAAUAGAGGGGGGAAAGAGGGUCGUGGUAGACUAGGGUGCUCUCUGGAAUUUCUCACAACACCAAUACUCUAUGGGCUGCAAGUGAACUGCAACAGCUUCCCACCAGCUGCUCAAGAGUCAAAAAAUAGCCACAGCAUUUUUAGAGAAUAAUUCCCAGAGGCUGUAGAAGAUACUUCUACAAGAGACACAGCAGUCCUUUCUUCCCUGGGAAUCUGCAGUGGAGAAGGCAUGCCCCCACAGGGAGUAUCUGCUGUCAAUAUGAAAGUAUGUUCUAAAGGAGAAGUCAUAAGUGGAAGAUGUGGAUGCGUUGGUAGACUUGUGGAAGAGGUGGUGUUGGAGUUGAAACAGGAAAAUGAAAUGUACCACUAUGUCUCAGGAAAGCUAAAUGGGACUUGCAUUUUUGUUCCACUGCUGGAGAUCUAGAAACCCCUUUGAAAUAUCUUUGCAUGAGGUAAUAUAUUUGAAGCCUCUUUAUUUGGAGUUGUUUUUAAAUUUGGAGCACUGUAGAAGAAGACUGAGGGUCUCUAUGAGAUUAUGGAGGGCAGGCUAUUUUAGAAAGAAUUCCCAGAAGUCCCAAGGGGACUUUUCAGGGACAGAAAAUCCUGCAUGAUAAGAUGGGUUACUGACAUUAGUGUGUCAUUUACAUGAGGCUUUAAUAGAGUUGAUUCUUCUCUCCAUUUCUGAUGCCUUUGACGUAUCAUUUUGUUUGGUAUCAAGGAAAGAACUUGCCACCAAUUUUAAGUUCCCAAAUUACUCCUGUUACUGGAAUUGUAGUUGGUGUUUCAAUUUGCCUCAUAAUGCUGGUCAUAUCAACUCCCUCUCUUGCUACCCUCACCCAAUUAGCAAAUUUAGUCAGUUCUUUUUAAAUGGUUCUCAAAGUCCUCCCCUCCUCUUAAACCACACUCCUCACUUCUUCCAAGAGUAAUAUGAUCUUCUAAUUCAUUUCUCUAUCUCAAGCAUAAAAAUGCUGCCAAAUCUUUUUUCACACAUUUCAUUGUUCACAUUUUGCAAAGUAUGAUCAUAUCUCUCUUCUCCCUAAACUGCUUCAGCAGUAUCCAGUAUUCUUUAGAAUAAAAUCCAGACUCCUCCACAUGACUAUGGUCUAGCUCAUACCUAUAUUUCCAGCCUUAUCUCCCUACUUUCUCCUCACCACCUAGAGUAGAAUCAGGCAUACAAAUGCAUGUUAAGUUUAAAAAAUGAGAGAAAAUAAUAAUAAGUGGUUGAAGAGAUUGUGUGAAUUUCAUGAGUCUCCAUUUCCUCACAAAGUAAAGUAGGAUUAAUAACCGGCUUUGCAAAAGUAUAUCAAAUGAGAUUAUACUUUUAAAAAUUAUUGGGAAGUAAAACACCAAAGAAUAUCAAUUGUUGUUAUUAAUAAAAGUAAUGAUGACUAUGAAUCUUGGAACUACUAAUUCUGUUGGCUUGGAUUCUUCCACAGCAGCUGCUCUGCUAAUCCCCCAGCUUUGGAGCAUUCCCAUGGUCCUCAUACUGUGUUCUGUUUCUCGCCUGUACAGCCCCACUGGAGAAAACUUCAUUAACAAACUGAUUCGCUCUAAGUCAACUUAUGAUCUCCAUCCUCUUCUGGGUUUUCAGUGCUACUCAGCACCAAUCUUUCAUUGGUUCCACUCCCAUACCAAAUAGCAGUUGUUAAAACAUUCACUAUCCUUCCCAGUAGGACAAACAAGUGUAGAGAUCUAAUAUAUAACAUGAAGACUAAUGUUAAUGAAAUCACUUUGUGUAGUUUUUUUCCCAUUAAAUUAGUAGAUUUUAGCUGUUCUAGUCACCAAAAAAAAAAAACCUAUAUGUUAAUCUGUUUCACUAUAAUAACUAUUUUGCUAUAUAUAUGUACUCC
rnacentral:lncRNA from 1 species